AUUCGCAUAGCGCAAGACAUACAGAUCAUACGAUUACACCGCAAGCACAGAUUUAUGAUCGUACGAUUGUACCGCAAGCAGACGAAGAAUAGAUGAUCGCGCAAAAACGUGGGCAAGCAAAACGUGGGUGAAUUAUUAUACUACACAAAAAGAUUAUAUCCGUGGAUAGUGCGAGCAGCAAACUAUUUAGUGUCUAGUGAUUUGGCAAUAGGUGACCACCUUGAUUUAGCUCAAUAGCUAGAGCUAUCACCAAAGCAAAGACUGCGAAAGAGUAGUUGGUUUUUUUUAUAUGACUCGUGCGGUCAAUGGCACGCAGCGAUAAAAUAAAAGACCUGACUGCGCAGCAGAUUAACCUACCACGAAGGCAAGAUACCCUCACAGACACGGAGCUAACUCUCGACGGCGUAAGAUUUCAUUAACGGCCAAAAGAGAGACUCCACCCACAACAACCAGAAAUAAAGAAAUCGGGAUCUCUAAAAACAACCUACACCAUGACGUAGGACAACCUCAUUUAGAUCUUGGCCUUGUCCAAAUACAUAAGUUAAGUAAGGACCCGACGGAAGAUAGAGCAUUGCGUCAGCUGAUGCGCUAAUGCAGGAACACAGCGAAGGUAGCCAGAGCAGACUAUAUGCGCUGCUCUGAAAAGCAGCUAAAAUCAACAUGCUAUCGUCAUCUUGGGCCCAGGAAUACAACGGUAUGCAGAUAUAUA